rnacentral:rRNA from 1 species
CCUACGGGAGGCAGCAGUGGGGAAUAUUGCACAAUGGGGGAAACCCUGAUGCAGCGACGCCGCGUGAGUGAAGACGUAAUUCGUUAUGUAAAGCUCUAUCUGCAGGGGAGAAAAUGACGGUACCUGAGUAAGAAGCCCCGGCUAACUACGUGCCAGCAGCCGCGGUAAUACGUAGGGGGCAAGCGUUAUCCGGAUUUACUGGGGGUAAAGGGAGCGUAGACGGCAGUGCAAGUCUGGAGUGAAAGGGGGGGGCUCAAACCCCGGACUGCUCUGGAAACUGUACGGUUGGAGUGCAGGAGAGGUAAGUGGAAUUCGUAGUGUAGCGGUGAAAUGCGUAGAUAUUAGGAGGAACACCAGUGGCGAAGGCGGCUUACUGGACUGUAACUGACGUUGAGGCUCGAAAGCGUGGGGAGCAAACAGGAUUAGAUACCCCAGUAGUC